ACACAGAAUAAUCACAAUAAUAAUAUUGUAGGUUAUCUAUUUCAUUUUAUUAAAUACAGACCACACAUAGUAAGUUGAGGAGUUUUAUAAACAACAUAUUGCAAAGGUCAACCAAAACAGAAUUCAUUAGUCUGAUGGUGUUAUAGAUAAUGUUGUUAUAAUGUUUUAUGUGCUGGAAUAAUGGUGUAGUGUCGUUGUCCCAUCCAUAAAUACAGAAACCUCUAUGAUUUAAAUCAGUUUAUGUGAAAGGAAAAAAAACAUCUGGUAAAUAACUGCUGUAAGUUUUUUAUGAAAGAAUCAGAAAGUGUGCUUUCAUGUGCACACUACUGAAUUAUUAAUUAUUUGUCUCAUGUCAUUUGGAUCAACUCGGUGUCUUCAGAUAAACUGUCCCUGAAUCGAGACACUCAGAAGUAGUUUGAUACUUGAGAAAAUGCACCUCCAAAACCAUAAAGUGAGCAUUGAGUUGCAUGAACUGCUGCCAGAACACAUUUUACAUACUGUUAAUAUUUUCCUUAAUUCAGAUUUAAUUCUCUAUGGAAAUGAAAUAUUUUUUCCUGUGUGGCCUCCAAGAUAAAUGAGCACAAGAAACUCAAACACACUCCUGUUUCUCGCUAAGGCUUAAGAAUGCAAUGUAGUAUCCAGACAUGUUGCUUUGACCAAUUUUAUUAAAAGAAACACAAAAUAAACAGAACAACUACAUUAAGUUAUAUAUUAAAGAGGGCUUGUUUAUAUACAAGGCAAACUCUGAACAUAGGACAUCGAGAAAAUCCUGAAGACAAGGAGAAAAAUAGAUGCACACAGGUUGUCGAUGAUCUUGCAAGGAAUGCAUCUGGCCACGACCACGAUGGAUUCUGGCUUACAUGCAGGCAACAGCGGUGAAACAACCAACAAUGUUUAAGGUUUCUAAAGCAAUCCAACAAGAUUUGAAGGCAGACCUACAAUAAGGGACGCUAACUCAACCAAGAAAGUGUAAAACAAUUGUGUUGAAAGUUUGGAGGCACAGUUUUCACAGCCAUCUAGAAGAUUUACAAUGUUUAUUCUAACUAAUUGUGUCCAGACAUCUUACUCCAAAUGACUAGGAUGAAAGAGAAUUCCACACAGUACCAUGAUUCAACAACAGGGAAAAAGAUGCAGGUGGUCUCAAAGCCUGGUCAGCAGCAACCAUUUGUUUAUUUCUCUACACAAACAUAACCAUCUCUUGCUCAACACAUGGUACGUGUGAAACAGAGCUCAGCUCUUUUUCAACGUUUCUUGGAAAUUGUAUAAUUCAUUGCAACCAACUGCUACAACUACGUCAUCUUGCAAUCCAGCUUCUGACUAGCUCACUGCCAAGCCAGCUUUCGUCGUACCUCACUAAAAACACCAAAAACAAAA